CACGAGACUUUUGCUGUCAGAUUCCACCGAAACCAAGCCCAGCUGCUUCUCUUUUAUGUACUUUAGAGCUUUGAGCACUGCUAGGGUUUCUAUCUGCAGAACUGGAGCCGCCCGAACGAGCUUAGUGAAGCCAUCCACAAGGCUACUGGAGGAAUCCUGGACAACGCAGGCAACAGCUCCCUCCAUCGACCCCUCGCAGAUCGACCCAUCGACAUUGAGCUUCAAGGAUCCCACUGCCGGAGCUAUCCAGGCAUCCGGUUUAGUACCUCAAAAUAUGUAGUUGUUGCGCUCCUUCUAGACCUGCCAUAGGAUGUUUGCGACCAAUUCCAAGGACAGGAGGUUGAUUUCCGGGUGGCUCCAUAUACGUGCAGUCCAGGGAUAGAGUAGAUAAAUAUGUUCGGCCGUUUCCAUCUUAUGUCGGCAAAGGUCACAUAUCGGAUUAGGUAAAAAUUUUCUUUUCCAUAGGUUCUCCUUGGAUGGGAUGGCAUUUUGACAAACAUUCUACAUAAAAAUCUUCACUUUAGGGCUGGUUCGCAUCUUCCAUAGAGCAUUCCAUAAUUCUCGUGGUGUAUGGUAGGAAAGAAGAGGGAUGCUCCUUUGCAAUGUUGGCUGAUGCUCUAUCUCUUAACAGAUUAUAGCCAUUUUUAAUUGAAAAAGAUCCAUCCUUAGUUCCUAUCCAUAUCAGUUCAUCAUUUUUAACUUGACGAUUGAGUGGGAUUGCAAGGAUUUCCUUGGUGGUCUCUUCAUCAAAGAGGUUAUUCACCAGUUGUUCAUUCCAUUGUUCCGCUUCAAAAUUCAUGAACUUAGAAACUUGUUGUGGAUCAUUUCUAUUUGUUGGCCCUCCAAUUAAUCCUCUCUUCAACCAUUUAUCUGUUUUGAUGUUGACAUUUUGGCCAUUUCCAAUCGACCAUUUCACUGAAUCCGCUAUGGCCUCCCUUCCUACAAUUAAACUCUGCCACCCCCAUGAAGGCUUAGUUCCUUUCUUAGCAUGCCAAAAAUCUUUUCUACGGAAAUAGAGCCCUUUCAAUAGUUUACUCAACAAUGCAUUUGGAUUCUUGACCAACCUCCAAGCUUGUUUUCCCAAAAAAACCUUGUUAACAGUAAGUAGGUCUCUAAAUCCCAUUCCUCCCCGUCUUUCCUGAUUUUCAUGAUUUCCCAUCUCUUCCAAUGCAGACCAGCUUUUGUUUCACUACUUUUCUACCAUAAAUUAGCUAUUUUCUUCUCUAUAGCCUUACAAAUUAAAACUGGAAUUUUGAAGAUUGACAUGGCAUAUUGAUAUAACGCCCGCACCACUGACUUUAGGAGGAUUUCCUUACACGCUUUAGAUAUAAUUUAUUCCUUCCAGCCUUUCAAUUUCAUAUUUACCCUAUUUAAAAUCCAAGUAAACAUCUGUCUUUUUUAUGCUCCCCAAUCAGAAGGGAUUCCCAGGUAUUUGCCUGUCUUAUCCAGCUCUAGAACCCUUAAUUAUCUUGUCAUAUUAUCCCUUAAAGGUUGGGACAUUCUCUACUAAAAAAGAUACCGGACUUGUUUAGGUUUAUAGCUUAUCCUGAGGCAUAACAAUACUGAUUUAGAAUAGUUGCAACAUUCUAACAUUCCUGUAUGGAUCCUUCCAAAAAGAAUAUUGAAUUGUCUACAAAUAAUAAAUGAGUCAAAGUAGGGCAGAACCUAUUCAACUUAAUUCCUUUUAUACUCCCAUCCUGUAGAGCUUUACCCAUCAAAGAAGACAAGCUGUUAGUCACCAAAAUGAAAAGAUAGGGUGAUAAUGGAUCCCCUUAUCUAAUGCCUCUGAAAGGAUUGAAGAAAGGAAGGGGUUCACCAUUAAAUUUAAUGCUAAAAGUAACUAUAGUGACACAUUAUAUGAUCCAAUUUACCCAUUUUGCACAGAAACCCAUUUUCAGUAAGCAACCUUCUAAGAAUCCCAUUCUAUUCUAUCAUAGGCUUUCUGCAUGUCCAAUUUCAACACCACUUGAAAAUGUUUUCUCCUUUCCCUCAUUUUCAAUUGGAGUAAUACCUCCUGCACAAUAUAAAUGUUAUCUUGAAUCUGUCUUCCAUUGACAAAGGCACUUUGUUCCCCUGAAAUCAAUAUUGGCAGCCAUCUUUUCAGUCUGUUUGCGAAGAUUUUUGAUAUUAUCUUAUAUGCAAAAUUGCAAAAGCUACUAGGGCGAUAUUGAUCAAGUCUUUCUAGAUGUGGUAUCUUUGGAAUAAGAGUAAUAUGAGUUCUGUUUAGGGCUGGUUCUAAUAUUCCCGAAUGAAAAAAGCCCCUAACUUCCUCAAAAACAUCAGUUUUUAUUAGAUCCCAAUGGUGUUAGUAGAAAUUUCCAUUUAAACCAUCUGGACCCAGAAGCUUUUUGUUCACCAAGUUGAAAAAUAGCAACAUGAAUUUCUUCCAUGGUUACUUCUGCCACCAAACUUGCAUUAAUUUCAUUUCCAAUUAGUAUUGGGCAUUGAUCUAGUACUAGUUGGCAGUUUCUUGGCCCUACCGUAGUGUAUAACUCUUUAAAAAAGGAGAUGGUGAGGUGCUGAAGUUGUUGUUUUUCCCUUAUCCACUGCUCCAAUGAGUUUUUCAGCAUAGUAAUUCGGUUUUUCUGUCUCAUUUGAAUAGUUGCUGCAUGAAAAUAUUUUGUGUUUUUAUCUCCCCAUCACAGCCAAUUAAUUCGAGAUCUCAAAGCCCAUAACAUCUCCUCUCUUCUCCAUAAAGUUUCAAUUUUUUCUUUUGCGAGCUUCAUCCUAUUUGAUUCUUGAUUCAAACUUGCACUAUUUGUUAGGAAUUGGAGCUCUUUCUUUAGGGCUAAUAUGCAAAGAUGGCUGUUUGGGAACUUUCUCUUACUCCAUUCUUUCAAGGCAUGACUUACAGUUUGUAGUUUAUCCUUCAAGCCUACUUCACAAUUAUUUUGAGAUUGCCAUGCUUGUUGAACUAUUUCUCUGCAUUCUCCAUCUUCAAUCUAGAAGGCCUCAAACUGAAAAUCUAUUUUUUUCUUUUCAAAUUCAACACUGCUCAGCAAUAGGACUAUGGUUUGACCCUACAGCUGGGAGGGCGAACGCUUUAGCUUCCGAGAACAUGAGCCUCCAAUCUAGAGAACAAAACACCCUAUCCAGCUUUUCCUUGACCAUAUUAGCCCUUGCUCUGUUGUUUGAUCGGGUAAAAAGCACACACCCCUUGCAAUCUAUUUUCAUUAACAAACAAUCAUGAAUACAACUUUGUAAGGCCCGCAUUCUCUAAUUUUUUGCCAUCAUUUUGCCCACCUUCUCCCAAUAAUAAAGCACUUCAUUGAAAUCCCCUAAACAAACCCAUGGUAGGCUAUUAGUAAGACUAAUCUGUCUCAUCUUAUCCCAUAACUGUAAUCUUUCCCCAAACAUAUUAGGAGCAUGCACACAAAUAGCCUACAUUUUAGUUCGACUAUCAUGAUCUUCACAUAUCAAGUUUAUCAUUUCUUGUAAACUAGAUUCCACCUCUACAUCAACUUCUUCAUUCCAAAUCACUGCUAGUCCCCCGCAAUUCCUACCGGAUUCACCACAAAAGCUGUAUUUAAAUUUCAACUACCUUCUAAUACGAGAAAUCAUAUUCUCUUUGUUUUUUUUUGUUUCCAAUAACAGAACCAUAUCGGGCCUUUCAUGAGCCACCAUAGCUCUCAAAUUUUGGACUAUCAGUGUUGUGCCCAACCCCUGACAGUUCCAACAUAUAAUCCUCAUUUGUAACCCGGUGGCUUAUUUGGGCUAGCCACCAAAGCCCAUCCCAUAGUUCCUUAUGAAAGACUAAUAGGAGUAUCCUGCAGUUUUGCUUCAUCAAAGUCCACCAACUCUAGAGGAGUUGAGUUAUAAGGGGUGUACCUCUUUAAUUUCUUUGCUGGUGAACUCUUUAAAACCCUGCUUUCCUUCUUUGAUCCUCCUUUUUUUGUUGAGGAUGAUGAUUUUUCAGCCGGCAUAAGCUGCAUUUAUGUCUCUUCAUUGUUCAUUAUACCUUUUCCUUUACCCUGGUGCUAUUCCGCUUGGCAAUUAGGUACAAUAAUAUUCGCUUGUGCCCUGUUUUAUGUUUGAGGUGUUGCUGUGGAUUUUAUUGCUGUUUGCUCACCAGUGAAAACUACUAUUUGAGUGCUGUGGGCUGGAAGGUUACUUACUGCUUGUUCCUCCACCUCUUCAUCCUCCUAGUCACCAUAAAAGAUCUGCCAAAAUGGGCUGGUUACUUAUUUACUUGAGCUUUGACCCCCAAAGUUGGUUUGAAUAGGAGACACGGUUUUAACUGAAAUUUUUUAUUCCUUCGAUGUUUGAUAUAAUUUCGCAUUAUGUAUGCUGAAGUACUGUACUGUAUCAUAAAUCAUUUUCACACACGAGGAUGAUAGCAAGAGGACACUGUGCAUAAAAUUGUGUAAAUUCAAUGGUUGGGUGGUUUCAUGACCUGAAAAUCACGUCAUGGACAUUUUACACGAGUAAUAAGUGCCACAAAGUACUUGGAAUUUUUCA